AUUGCUUCCAACCUUAGUCUAAGACCCUGGUCACACAAGGAAAAAGUUAUGUAGUUAUCUUCCAGCUAGGUAGAUUUCUUUGCUGAGGAACAGCUGGGCGUAUGUUGCUGCCAUCUGUGCAGGAGCACCAGAGGAUAUUUGGGCCCUGAUUAGGACUGAAACCAUGCCUUUGAGAUCAGGAGUCAAAAAUCUGGUCAAGCCUGCAAACUGUGCAAAAGAUCAAGAGACACAUUUUAACCUGCUGCUGAAAGGAAUCCACUGAUAGCACCAACUUGGUCUCCGCAUGGUGGGCAAUCAACAGCCAGGGUGCCACAACAGAGGAGGACCUCUUCUAUGUUCUUAUACAAUAAAACAAAAAUAAAAUAUGCUGCAUAUAUACCAACCCAUACUGCUUUCUCUGGGUGGUUUACAUUUUGAUUAUAGAAACUACUCAU